rnacentral:rRNA from 1 species
CCUACGGGAGGCAGCAGUGAGGAAUAUUGGUCAAUGGACGGAAGUCUGAACCAGCCAUGCCGCGUGCAGGAAGACGGCUCUAUGAGUUGUAAACUGCUUUUGUACAAGGGUAAACCUGAAUACGUGUAUUCAGCUGAAAGUACUGUACGAAUAAGGAUCGGCUAACUCCGUACCAGCAGCCGCGGUAAUACGGAGGAUCCAAGCGUUAUCCGGAUUUAUUGGGUUUAAAGGGUUCGUAGGCGGAUUGAUAAGUUAGAGGUGAAAUGUCCGAGCUUAACUCGGGAACUGCCUCUAAUACUGUUGAUCUGGAGAGUGGAUGCGGUAGGCGGAAUGUAUGGUGUAGCAGUGAAAUUCUUAGAGAUCAUACAGAACACCGAUUGCGAAGGCAACUUACCAGUCUAUAUCUGACGUUGAGGCACGAAAGCGUGGGGAGCAAACAGGAUUAGAUACCCUGGUAGUC